AUUGAACGCUGGCCGCAGGCCUAACACAUGCAAGUCGAGCGAGCGGCGGACGGGUGAGUAUUAUAUGGGGCCUGCCCCUUAGAGGGGGAUCACAACUAGAGACGGUAGCUAAUACCGCCUACUCUAUGAUAACCCAUAUGGGAUUAGCUAGUAGGUGAGGUAAUGGCUCACCUAGGCGACCAUCCCUAGCUGGUCUGAGAGGAUGAUCAGCCACACUGGGACUGAGACACGGCCCAGACGCCGACGGAUGCAGCAGUGGGGAAUAUUGCACAAUGGGAGCAAGCCUGAUGCAGCCAUGCCGCGUGUAUGAAGAAGGCCCUAGGGUUGUAAAGUACUUUCAGGCGGGAGGCGUUACCGACAGAAGAAGCACCGGCUAACUCCGUGCCAGCCGCCGCGGUAAUUC
rnacentral:rRNA from 1 species